rnacentral:lncRNA from 1 species
UGUAUUGUUGUCGUCAGCCUCUGUAGAGCUGUGGGGGAAUCUCAGCAAGGGUUGGAGAACCAGUUCCACCUUGGCACAGUGCCAAAAGGAAGGCUUUGAGCAAGUCACCAGCACUAGGACCUUCUCAUGAGCUUGCAGAGGAGCUGAGCUCUUGGCUAAUGGGGGAAGGUCAAUCUUGUGAACAGCAGGCUGUGCUGAGUAUCAAAUCACAAAAAUCAGACCACUUGACUCCUAAUAUGAACAACGGAUGGGACUUCUCAGAGGAAAAGGUGAAGUCAAACAGAUCAGCAAGACAGAUCCAAACUACCAGACGCUGACAUCACCUCUAAUGUUCUGCAGUUUUCUCAGACCCCUCUUCUACCUAAUACUCACUUAUCAAAGUCAACAUUAAAACCACCUGAUGACAAUAUUGUGACCCCCAUCUCAGUCAUUUUUAUCGUGAUACCUUAAAGGGACCAGCACAUUUCUGAAUCCAGAUGGCUAGUGUUAUUGAAGCCUUGCUUACUUUUUUUUUUUUUUUUUUUUUUUUUUGUC